GGUGUAGCUCAGUUGGGAGAGCGCCUGCUUUGCAAGCAGGAGGUCAUCGGUUCGAACCCGUUCACCUCCACCA
rnacentral:tRNA from 1 species